rnacentral:rRNA from 1 species
UACGUAGGUGGCAAGCGUUGUCCGGAUUUAUUGGGUUUAAAGGGUGCGUAGGCGGUUGUAUAAGUCAGUGCUGAAAUAUCCCGGCUUAACCGGGAGGGUGGCAUUGAUACUGUAUGACUUGAGUAAAGUUGAGGUAGGCGGAAUUGACGGUGUAGCGGUGAAAUGCUUAGAUAUCGUCAAGAACACCGAUUGCGAAGGCAGCUUACUAAGCUUUAACUGACGCUGAGGCACGAAAGUGUGGGGAUCAAACAGG